rnacentral:rRNA from 1 species
UACGGAGGGUGCAAGCGUUAAUCGGAAUUACUGGGCGUAAAGCGUGCGCAGGCGGUUUGUUAAGUCCGUUGUGAAAGCCCCGAGCUCAACUUGGGAAUUGCAGUGGAUACUGGCAGGCUGGAGUACGGUAGAGGAAGGUGGAAUUCCCGGUGUAGCAGUGAAAUGCGUAGAGAUCGGGAGGAACACCAGUGGCGAAGGCGGCCUUCUGGACCAGUACUGACGCUCAUGCACGAAAGCGUGGGGAGCAAACAGG